AAACAAAACCCUCAGGAAAAUUAUAUGAUGAGCUCUCUACUCUCAUCCAACUUUCCCUGUAACGAUUUUUGAUUAAUUUUUCUUCUUGUUUUCUGAGGGUCUCUUCUCAUGGCGAUCUCGAAGAAAGCGAGCUUCUUGGAGCUCGGUUGAAGUUCCUUGGAAGUAAAAAAAGUCUUUUUUCCCCCCCUUCAAUUUUUAGCGUAAACAAUCCCACAGUCGUGUUGUUGUUGCUUCCAAUUUCUACUAUCUUUAAAAGCAACAUCUUGCACAAAUUCGAGGCUGCUGCUUCUCUUUUGAGCUCUAUUUUUGAAACCCUAGUUUUUUCUCAGCUCAAAAAGCUUUCCUUUUAUAGAAUGCAAUUGCUUGCUGAGGUUUAGGGUUUAGAAAAUGAGUCAUUCUGCUCAGAGUUCAGGGCAGCGGUCUGAAGAAGGGGGGGAAAAGAAAUGCUUGAAUUCUGAGCUUUGGCAUGCUUGCGCCGGGCCUCUAGUGUGCCUGCCCAAUGUUGGUACUAGAGUUGUUUACUUCCCUCAAGGCCACAGUGAACAGGUUGCGGUGUCGACGAAUAAAGAGGUUGAGGGACAUAUUCCAAAUUAUCCGAACUUGCCUCCUCAACUCAUUUGCCAGCUCCAUGAAGUCACAAUGCAUGCAGAUUCGGAGACAGAUGAAGUGUAUGCUCAAAUGACUCUUCAACCUUUGAACCCGGUAAAAUUUUGUUUUUGUGGCUUGUUUGUGUUGACUUUGAUUCCGUUUGAUUCUGAAUUAUGUUUUAAGCAACCUACUAAUUACUUUUGUAAGACUUUGACUGCGAGUGAUACAAGCACUCACGGAGGGUUUUCUGUACCUCGUCGAGCAGCAGAGAAAGUGUUUCCUUCCUUGGAUUUUUCUCAGCAACCGCCAGCUCAAGAGCUUAUUGCAAGGGAUAUUCAUGGCGUCGAGUGGAAGUUCAGACAUAUAUUCCGAGGCCAACCGAAAAGGCAUCUUCUUACUACAGGAUGGAGUGUGUUUGUUAGUGCCAAAAAACUCGUCGCUGGAGACUCUGCUCAUGCUACUGCUACGAAUAGUCGGUUUACCAUCUUCUAUAACCCAAGGUCUAGUCCCUCAGAGUUUGUGAUACCACUUGCAAAGUAUGUUAAGGCUGUAUUUCACACUCGUGUAUCAGUGGGAAUGCGCUUCCGUAUGCUAUUUGAGACCGAGGAAUCUAGCGUCCGUAGGUAUAUGGGGACAAUAACGGGUAUAAGUGACCUGGAUCCUGUGCGAUGGCCAAAUUCUCACUGGAGAUCAGUUAAGGUUGGGUGGGAUGAGUCCACUUCUGGGGAUAGACAACCAAGGGUCUCCCUAUGGGAGAUUGAGCCUCUGACUACGUUCCCUAUGUAUCCAUCUUUGUUUCCUUUGAGGCUUAAACAGCCCUGGUAUCCUGGUUUAUCGCCUUUUAAUGAUUACAAGGUUGAUGGAGGCAAUCCUUUCAUGUGGAUGAGGGGGGAUGCUGGAUCCUUGAACUUUCAGUCACCAGGCAUUGGCCCCUGGGCGCAACAGAGGCUUGAACCACUAUUAAGCAACAAUCAUGAUCAUUACCAAGCAAUGGCUGCUGCAGCUUUGCAGGAAAUGGGAGGCACUGAUGCUCUGAAGCAACACUUCAUCCAAUUUCAGCAACCUUUCCAAUUCCCACAGCAGUCCAAUUCUUUGUUGCAGCAGCAAAUGGCCCAACAAGCACAAAUGAUGAAUGCCCAAUCACAUUGUCUAUCAGAGAACCAGACACAUAACAUUAUGAGUCAGCAAUUGCAGCAGUCACAUAAUGAACAGCAAAAACAGGCUCAGCAUCCAAAUACCUUUUCAGAAGCAUUUCAGAUUCCUAGCAACCAGGUGGAGAAGCAGCAAUCACACUUUCCUUCUUUGAGCCAAAAGCUACCCUUCUCGGAUUCGAGCACAAACUUCUCAUCAGUCUUAAACUCUGGCUGUGGCCAAAAUAUGUUAGGCUAUGGUUACCCUGAAGGAGGUUCCAAUGUGUUGGACUUCUCGAAUCUUAGUCAUCAGAUGAUGAACGAUCACCAUCAGCAACCAUGGGAACCGAAGCUUACAAGCUCACAAAUGUCCCACUUUGGCAACAGUGUUUCACUUCCACCAUUUCCUGGCAGAGAUGGUUCUUUGGAAGCUGAAAAUUGCAGGAAUGAUAUGCAGAACCGCACCUUAUUUGGUGCUAACAUAGAUUCCUCUAACCUCCUCAACAAUGCAGUGCCUAGUUUGAUGAGUCCAAAUGCUGUUGAUACUGAGGUUUCCACUGGGCCAUAUGCUUCGUCAUAUAUGCAGAACUCUCUGUAUGGGUCCCUGGAUGACUCUUCUAGUUCAAUGCACAAUGCAGAUGUUGAUCCAACUACCAGAACUUUCGUGAAGGUUUAUAAGUCUGGAUCGGUUGGGAGAUCACUGGACAUUGGCCGGUUUAGCAACUAUGAAGAAUUACGUGAGGAACUGGGUCAAAUGUUUGGUAUUGAGGGUCUAUUGGAGGAUCCUCUUAGAUCAGGCUGGCAGCUUGUAUUUGUUGACAGGGAGAAUGAUGUGCUUCUCCUUGGAGACGACCCAUGGGAGGCGUUUGUGAAUAAUGUCUGGUACAUUAAGAUACUUUCACCUGAGGAUGUGCAGAAGAUGGGGAAGCAGAGUGUUGAAUCCUGUUAAUUUUCUAAAGGAUAUAGAACGGUGCAGGCGGAAGGUUCAACCGUGUUAUCUCUAUUUGUUGCUUCAUCAUCUUAAUACUUCCAUGUUGAUCCUCUUACAUUUUCUGAAGAAGUCACAGUUCCCAUUGUAUACCAAAUGCAUUGUCCCAAAGGUUCUCGGCUCCCAUCGCUCUUCUAGCCGACGAUUGUGCAGGGUAGUUAUUCUCAGUAGACUACGCGGGUGGAGUUAAUACUUGAUGCACGCGGUUUUACUUUAUCUGCAUAAAUGCAUGUACUUCAUUAAAGUUUCUGUAGCUUUAGGCUUGGAAUCAGGGACUCCUAAUCUAUGAAUACCUUAGGCUGAUAAUUUGUUGAUGAUGUAAUGACUAGCUGUAAUCAGGAAGUAUCUUUGUAGGCUAAA